rnacentral:ncRNA from 1 species
CUCCCGAAAAGGCAACUGCCCCAAGAGCGGCAGACGCAAAGCCAAGGGCCAAUUGGAUUGGCUGCCUGGCUACCGAA